ensembl:lncRNA FIRRE firre intergenic repeating RNA element
GUGGUAGCAGAGUCACUGCAGAGAACCAGACAAUACCAGGUUGCUUAUAAAAGGAUGCCAUGUGCUUGCUGGAGGUCCCAGGUGCAACCAAAUUGCUUGCAGCUAGGAGGACCUUGAAGAGAAAUGGGAUCAGCCCGCCAAACCAAGAAGGGUUAGCACUUUUGCUAGGAGAGCUGACCACGCACAAACAGAUGAGAACCAAAACCGAGUGAAGAGGAUUGAAGAUGAACCCACAUUUUAAAAGUUCUUGUCUGCUGGAGGUGGCAUUACCUGUGACCUCGCUUCACUUCUCCAUACAUGGCUGUUAUAGCAGAAAAUCCAGCUUUCUGAAGCAUAUUUCACGACAUAUGAUGAGACUUAUGUGAUGUGAGACCUGAGAAAACUAUGAUAGAAAGAAGCAACUCAAGUUGCAAGGAUAUUCCUCAUGUAUCAUGCAAGGAUAUUCCUCAUAUAUCAUAGACUAAGGUGUCAGUAUGUUCUUCAAGCUGCUCUGCUCCUGGGCCCAAGCUAUUCUCCUGCCUCAGCCUUCCAAGAAGCUGAAACUACAAGAACACAAGACUGUACCUGGCUUGCAAACACCAUUGCUAAUAAGAAGAUAUUAGUCUCACUCAUUCUGUCGCCCAGGCUGGAGUGCAGUGGCGUGAUCUCAGCUCACUGCAACCUCCACCUCCCGGAUUCAAGCGAUUCUCCUGCCUCAGCCUCCUGAGUAGCUGGGACUACAGGCCCUCCCUCCGUUGCCCAGGUGGGAGUGCAGUGGUGUGAUGUCAGUUCACUGCAACCUUGGCCUCCCGGAUUCAAGCGAUUCUCCUGCCUUAACCUUCCGAACAUGGAUCCCUGAGGUCGGUCCCCAAUACGACAAGACAAUUUGAUAUCAUAAUAGAACACUGCAGAAACAAUGCUGAGUGAAGAAGAGUAGAAAUGGGAAGACUUGGUUGAGCGGAAACUGAGUUCUUGAAAAGAGGAGAUGCUUGAUGAGGAUGGAGUCUUGCUCUGUCGCCCAGCCUGGAGUGCAGCAGCACGAUCUCAGCUCACUGCAUCCUCCGUCUCCCAGGUUGAAGGGAUUCUCUUGUCUCAGCCUCCCGAACAACUGGGACUAAAGGCAUGGAUCCCUGAGGUCUGCCCCAGUACUAUAAGACAAUUUGAUGUAAGAAAACACAGCAGAUAUAAUACUGAGUGAAGAAGAGUAUAAAUGAGAAGAUUGGUUGUGCAGAUACUGAGUUCAUGAAAAGAGGAGAUGAUUGAUGAGGCCAGGUGCGGUGACUCAUGCCUGUAAUCCCUGCACUUUGGGAGGCUGCGGCGGGCGGAUCACCUGAGGUCAGGAGUUCGAGACCAGCCUGGGAGACAGAGCAUGGAAACCUAAGGUCUGUACCCAAAACUACAGGACUAUUUGACAUCAUAAUAAAACACUGCAGAUAUGAUGCUGAGUAAGAGUAGAAAUGGGAAGACUUGGUUGUGCAGUAACUGAGUUCUUGAAAAGAGGAGAUGCUUGAUGAGGGCAUGGAUCACUAAGGUCUGUUCCCAAUACAAGAAGACUCUUUGACAUCAUAAUAAAAUACUGCAGAUACGAUGCUGAGUGAAAAAGAGUAGAAAUGGGAAGACUUGGUUGUGCAGAAACUGAGUUCUUAAAGAGAGGAGAUACUUUAUGAGGUUGCAGGGCUUUGACUCCUGGGUACAUGUAUCUCAUCUGAAAGGGAAUCCUGACGCCUACUGAAUCUUAAUAGUCAAUAUUGAUAUCUGGCAUCAAAUUCAAGUUGACCAAAGUUCCAUCUUCAGACCUGGGAGAAGAUGACAGUCAAAAUGAACUGCUUUCAUGUGACACUGGACCAGGCCUAUAUACAAAGGCAUAAGUAAUCAUUGAAUAAUGUUUCAUCUAUCUAUCUUAAUAUAAUUUGUUCUAUGCCUUACUAGAUAAAUGUUUAGUUACCUGUGAGUUUUCUUUUCCUGCCAUUGUCAGAGCUAGGCAGGGCUUAAGUCCCUUUCGUUUAAACAUUACUAACUCUAUACAUAGCUUGCAAAAUUGGAUAAAACAACAAAGGUUACUUUUUCACUCUCUCUCUGCUUAAUAUCUCUGAAAUUUAAAACUAUUCAGAAUCCCACUGGGCCCGAUCUAUUUUCAAUGCUAAUGCUCCACUGCUAAAACUAUAUAAGCAUCUUCCCUCUAGGCUCAGGCACUAUCUUGGAAGAGGUAAAUGUGUAAGAUUGUAAAGGUUGAUUUUUGAGCAACAAAAUUAAUUUAGAUCUUCCAAAUAAAAAAUGGGCACACAGAUGCCCAAACAGUUGGCAAAAUAAGAUACUUUACCUCCUGGACCAGUAUGUGGACCUUUUUCAUCCAUCCCAACCAUAAUUUCCUCUUUCCUGUAGAAUUAAAAGAAAAUUGCAAAGAGGAUAUGAACUUUUCUGGUAAGAAAACCUCCUGGGUAUAGUGCUCCCAGUUAUGAGAUUUAUGCAGAUUGUUAUAUAAAGUUUUUUUAAAUCAAGCACCUUAGGACAAACUAUUAAAAAGACUGCUAAAAGCGUUGUGACACAACAAAAGUCUCUAAAUUCUGUAGCUUAAAAAGUUUUAACAAAGUACUUAUCUUUUGCAAGCUAAUUGCUACAAGUCUAUAACUAAAACAUGUAUUGACUGAUGUCUUAGGUCUCCCUAAAAUAUAUAAAACCAAGUUGUAAACCAAUCACCUUGGACACAUGUUCUCAGGACCUCUGGAGACUGUGCCUUGGGCCAUGGUCACUCAUAUUUGGCUGAGAAUAAAAUUUUAAAAAUAUUUUACAGAGUUGGGUUUUUCUUGUUGGCUUUUUCAUAAAAUGUAAAAUGUUUGAGAAAGACACUUCUCAAGUGGCCAAGUGAGGAUAUUCUAGCUUAAUGCGUAGAAUUUAUAGCUAAGUCAAUUUUGUAACCUUGCCUUUUGACUUUUGGUUCUUGAUGCUUACAUUACAAAAUUUUAAGGUUUGAUAAAUGCCUGCUCCACUUCCAUUCCCAUCUGGCCUAGGAUAUUUAAAUUGGCUAUAAGUCUUUUGGCUCUACAUCUGUUGGCCGUGAGUCCCCACCAAGGGAUAGGAUAGACCCAGGGCACAUAGCCACACCACCCCAGCAAUGGUAUGCAACAAAAUGAUAGUUUGGCCAUUGAUGUUGCCUCUGGGAAAUUUUUUUUUUUUUUUUGACGAAGUCUUGCUCUGUUGCCCAAGCUGGAGUGCAGUGGUGUGUUCUAGGCUGACUGCAACCUUUGCUUCCUGGGUUCAAGUGAUUCUCUUGCUUCAGCCUCCCAAAUGGCUGGUAUUACAGACGUGCACCACCACACCUGGCUAAUUUUUUUUUUUUUUUUUUGAGACAGAGUCUCACUCUGUCAUUCAGGCUGGAGUGCAGUGGCACAAUCUCGGUUCACUGCAACCUCCAUUUCCCGGGUUCAAGUGAUUCUCCUGCCUCAGCCUCCUGAGUAGCUGGGAUUAUAGGCAUGCACCACCAGGCCCAGCUAAUUUUUGUAUUUUUUUGUAGAGAUGGGGUUUCGCCAUGUUAGUCAGGCUAGUCUCGAACUCCUGACCUCGUGAUCCACCUGCCUCGGCCUCCCAAAGUGAUGGGAUUAUAGGCGUGAGCCACUGUGCCUGGCCUAAUUUUAGUAUUUUUAGUAGAGAUGGGGUUUCGCAAUGUUGGCCAGGCUAGUCUCGAACUCCUGACUUCAGGUGAUCUGCCUGCCUUGGCCUCCCAAAGUGCUGGGAUUACAGGUGUGAGCCACCACGCUUGGCCUCCUCUGCUCAAUCCUGACCAGAAAAAUCAAAUUCUAACUCCCCCAAUCAACUGAAUUCCCCUCCAUUCAUCUGCCAAGGGGAUUCUAAAGAAUCCUGAAAACUAGUUCAGGCCAUGACAAUUGACAUUAAAACAGAUCUUAAAACUGACAAAACAGAUUCUUUGUAGCAAUAAGAUACCAAAUUUCAACCUGACUCAGGUAUAACUUCACAUGAUAAAAAAGGAAAUAAAAAUAUUUUACCCCCAAAAUAGAUUUCUUUGACAUAUUUUGAAAUGGCCCUGCAAGGCAGUUGGGGAAAUUUUGCAUCUGUAAAGCAUCUCCUUAACAUAACUAGAUCUUUCCCCUUCCAGGCCCUCCUAAACCUGAAGAGAUUAACUGAGAUUCUAGCACCUUUUAAAGUCUACAUAGGAAACAUUCACCAUUUAUUAUCUCUAAGGGCAGCCACUUAUGAGACUUCAUCUAUGUAAUAAAAACCUUGGUCUCCACAACCCCUUAUGUUAACCCAGACACUCCUUUCUAUUGAUUCCAGGUCUUUAGAAAAUAACUUAACUCCUCCAAGCAAUUGCCAAACAGAAAACCUUGGCAUCUUCCUAUGACCUGUAAGCACCCACUUUCCCCUGCUUUAAGUUGUCCUACCCUUCUGCACCAAACCAAUGUAUACCUCACAUGUAUUGAUUGAUGUCUUCUGUCUCUCUAAAACAUAGAAAAGAAAGCUGUAACCCAACCACCUUGGUCAGGACGUCUUGAGACUGUGCCUUGCGCCAUGGUCAGUCGUAUUUUGUGCAGAAUAAACAUUUUUCAAUAUUUUACAGAGUUUGGCUUUUUUGUUGACUUUUUUCAUAAAACAUGAAAGAUUAUGUUUGAGAAAGGCGUUUCUCAAGUGACCAUGUGAAGAUGUUGGGAAAUCCUCUCGCCAAAGAACAACUAUGAAAUGGACAAAACCAACCAUUUCUGUGCUCUGGAAAUUAAAUGUGCACAACAAUGUUAAACUUUGGGCAAGAAAGUUUGAACUCUGAUACGGUUUUGAUUUGUGUCACUGCUGAAAUCUCUUGUGCAAUUGUGACCCUCAGUGUUGGAGGAGGGGCCUGGUGGGAAGUGAUUGGAUCAUGGGGGUGGAUUUCCCCCUUGCUGUUCUCAUGUAGUGAGUGAGUUCUCGUGAGAUCUGGUUGUUUAAAAGUGUGUAGCAUCUCCCCCUGCUCUCUUCCUCCUUCUCUGGCCAUGUAAAACCUGCCUGCUUCCCCUUUGCCUUCUACCAUGAUUGUAAGUUUCCUGAGGCCUCCACAGCCAUGCUUCCUGUACAGACUGUGGAAGUGUAAGUCAAUUAAACGUCUUUAGUCUUUAAACCUAUAAAUAUCUUUGUAACAACUUCCUUAGCUACAAUCUAUAAGUUAUUUAUAGAUUACACAGUCUCAGGUAGUUCUUAAUAGCAAUGCAAAAAUGCACUAAUACAAACCCUGUUUUGGUCUGGCCUGUGGCUGCUUCCGUAUUUCUCUUUCCUAGGUCCAUCUAUAGGGACAUUCUGCCAAGGUGAAAUAAAGACUGAUAAAAUUCCUUACUAGCAAACUUGUAUUACAAGAAAUAACUAAAAACAGUCCUUCAGUCUAAAAGGAAAUGACUCUAUAUGGUGACUUGAAUCCACAAGAAUAAAUGAAGGGCACAGGAAAUGGUAAAUAGCUGGGUUAAUAUAAAAAAGACUCUAUGUAUUGUUUUUUCAUUUUUUCUAUAUUAUCUAAAUGACCUAAGAUUAUGUGAAGUAAUAAUUAUUA